rnacentral:rRNA from 1 species
UUGAAAGGGAAACGAUUGAAGUCAGUCGUACCGACGAGAAAUCAGCUUAUCGUGUGUUAACUUGUGGGCGUGCGUGAGUUUCGGCCUCGCUGUUUGCAUGUUUGUGCGCUUUGGGUGUACUUUUUCGUAUGGUUGGCCAACAUCAGUUUCGAUUACUAUAAAAUGACUGGCGGAAUGUAGCUUCGAUUUCGGUUGAAGUGUUAUAGCCUCUGGUAGAUGUGGUGAUUGAGACUGAGGAUUGCAACGAAUAUCCUUUGGGCUAUCCGUCUGGCCUCUGAAAGUUGCUUGGGUGCUGAAAGCUUGCUUAUGGUUAUCUAAGUUAACGGUCAAUAGGUUAGAACGCGAUUACAUUCGUUAAGGAUGUUGACGUA